GGUGCUGGGGGUGCAGGGGAGGUCAGUGGGCGCUGGGAGGUCAGUGGGUGCUGGGAGGUCAGUGGGUGCUGGGGGUGCAGGGGAGGUCAGUGGGUGCUGGGAGGUCAGUGGGUGCUGGGGGUGGAGGGAGGGUCGGGGCACUGGGAGGUCAGUGGGCGCUGGGAGGUCAGUGGGUGCUGGGGGUGCAGGGAGGGUCAGGGCACUGGGAGGUCAGUGGGUGCUGGGGGUGCAGGGAGGGUCAGGGCGCUGGGAGGUCAGUGGGUGCUGGGAGGUCAGUGGGUGCUGGGGGUACAGGGGAGGUCAGUGGGUGCUGGGAGGUCAGUGGGUGCUGGGGGUGCAGGGAGGGUCGGGGCACUGGGAGGUCAGUGGGUGCUGGGGGUGCAGGGGAGGUCAGUGGGUGCUGGGAGGUCAGUGGGUGCUGGGGGUGCAGGGAGGGUCAGGGCGCUGGGAGGUCAGUGGGUGCUGGGAGGUCAGUGGGUGCUGGGGGUGCAGGGAGGGUCGGGGCACUGGGAGGUCAGUGGGUGCUGGGGGUGCAGGGAGGGUCGGGGCGCCGGGAGGUCAGUGGGC